rnacentral:rRNA from 1 species
UACCAGCACCCCGAGUGGUCGGGACGAUUAUUGGGCCUAAAGCAUCCGUAGCCGGUCCUACAAGUCUUCCGUUAAAUCCACCUGCUUAACAGAUGGGCUGCGGAAGAUACUAUAGAGCUAGGAGGCGGGAGAGGCAAGCGGUACUCGAUGGGUAGGGGUAAAAUCCGUUGAUCCAUUGAAGACCACCAGUGGCGAAGGCGGCUUGCCAGAAUGCGCUCGACGGUGAGGGAUGAAAGCUGGGGGAGCAAACCGG